CGUGUAGGUGGUUUAGUAAGUCUGGCGUGAAAUUUUUCGGCUUAACCGGGAAAGGUCGUCGGAUACUGCAAGACUAGAGGACGGUAGAGGCGUGUGGAAUUCCGGGUGUAGUGGUGAAAUGCGUAGAGAUCCGGAGGAACACCAGUGGCGAAGGCGACACGCUGGGCCGUACCUGACACUGAUGCGCGACAGCAUGGGGAAGCAAACAG
rnacentral:rRNA from 1 species